rnacentral:lncRNA from 1 species
GUAAAAGAAACUUUCAAAGACAUUCCCCAGUAAGACCUCCCCUCACUCUUUCACUGAUAAUAGGCAAAUUUUAUACUAGUCUCUGACAAAGUCACUGGGACCAACACAAAUUGCUUCAAUUAUGAGGAUUUAUGCAAGUCUCCCUGAGGAGGGUUGAAGGGUUGAAGUCUCCGGGAAAAUGGGGUUUCGCCUUCAAGGAAGAAAGUGCAACAGCAACAGUGUCUAAUAAAAGUACCGACAACAGCAACAAUAGAGACACUAAUGAGGAUACACUGUGUCACACUACUCACAGAAGAAAGCAUACUACUCACAGGCUGCAAGUGGUGCCUCUUGUUUGGUUUUUACCAUCAUUACCCAUUCUUGCUCCUUUAUAUACCGCCACCAGAGAAGAAAUGCAACAAUUCUGUUGCAGCUAAUGAGGAUUGCUUUGUUUGUAACUGUUCUGGUAUAAUUGUAG